rnacentral:rRNA from 1 species
UACGUAGGGCGCAAGCGUUGUCCGGAAUUAUUGGGCGUAAAGAGCUCGUAGGCGGCUUGUCACGUCGGGUGUGAAAGCCCGGGGCUUAACCCCGGGUCUGCAUUCGAUACGGGCAGGCUAGAGUGUGGUAGGGGAGAUCGGAAUUCCUGGUGUAGCGGUGGAAUGCGCAGAUAUCAGGAGGAACACCGGUGGCGAAGGCGGAUCUCUGGGCCAUAACUGACGCUGAGGAGCGAAAGCAUGGGGAGCGAACAGG